CUGGGCUAGACAACGGCGGACCGUCCUAGAAAUAGGAUUUUCCCUUCGGGGACUGCCGGUUCAGGUGCUGCAUGGCUGUCGUCAGCUCGUGCCGUGAGGUGUUGGGUUAAGUCCCGCAACGAGCGCAACCCUCGUCCUUAGUUGCCACCAUUCAGUUGGGCACUCUAGGGAGACUACCGGCGUUAAGCCGGAGGAAGGUGGGGACGACGUCAAGUCAUCAUGGCCCUUAUGUCCAGGGCCACACACGUGCUACAAUGGACGGUACAAAGGGUCGCAAACCCGCGAGGGGGAGCCAAUCCCAAAAAGCCGUUCUCAGUUCGGAUUGGAGUCUGCAACUCGACUCCAUGAAGUCGGAAUCGCUAGUAAUCGUGGAUCAGAAUGUCACGGUGAAUACGUUCCC
rnacentral:rRNA from 1 species